rnacentral:rRNA from 1 species
UACGGAGGGGACUAGCGUUGUUCGGAAUUACUGGGCGUAAAGCGCACGUAGGCGGAUUUGUAAGUCAGGGGUGAAAUCCCGGGGCUCAACCUCGGAACUGCCUUUGAUACUGCAAAUCUCGAGUCCGGAAGAGGUGAGUGGAACUCCGUAGUGUAGAGGUGAAAUUCGUAGAUAUUAGGAAGAACACCAGUGGCGAAGGCGGCUCACUGGUCCGGUACUGACGCUGAGGUGCGGAAAAGCGUGGGGGAGCAAACAGGGAUUAAGAAACCC